GAUGAACGCUGGCGGCGUGCCUAAUACAUGCAAGUCGAGCGAACAGACGAGGAGCUUGCUCCUCUGACGUUAGCGGCGGACGGGUGAGUAACACGUGGAUAACCUACCUAUAAGACUGGGAUAACUUCGGGAAACCGGAGCUAAUACCGGAUAAUAUAUUGAACCGCAUGGUUCAAUAGUGAAAGACGGUUUUGCUGUCACUUCUAGAUGGAUCCGCGCCGCAUUAGCUAGUUGGUAAGGUAACGGCUUACCAAGGCAACGAUGCGUAGCCGACCUGAGAGGGUGAUCGGCCACACUGGAACUGAGACACGGUCCAGACUCCUACGGGAGGCAGCAGUAGGGAAUCGUCCGCAAUGGGCGAAAGCCUGACGGAGCAACGCCGCGUGAGUGAUGAAGGUCUUCGGAUCGUAAAACUCUGUUAUUAGGGAAGAACAAAUGUGUAAGUAACUAUGCACUUCUUGACGGUACCUAAUCAGAAAGCCACGGCUAACUACGUG
rnacentral:rRNA from 1 species